rfam:Oryza sativa (indica cultivar-group) chromosome 1, whole genome shotgun sequence.
UUUAAUUGUAACCAUAAGUUUUCGCGCCCAACUUUGAUCGUCCGUCUUAUUUGAAUUUUUUAUAAUUAGUAUUUUUGUUGUUAUAAGAUGAUAAAACAUGAAUAGUAUCUUACUCGUGACUAAUGUUUUUAAUUUUUUUUAGAAAAAUGUCAAAUAAGAGAGACAGUCUAUAUUAGGUUCGGGAAUUACUAUGGCGGCAUUUGAU